AUGAUCGAGUCUUACGGUUGUCGCUGGCCUCUCGGGGCAUGUGCACGCCUGGCUCAUUUCCAUCCUUCACACCUCUGUGCACUUUCCCAUGGGUCGACAUGAUUCGGAAGUCUCGAGAGAGACGACUGGAUUUUUUUGGCCUGUGUGUUCUACAACAUACACCUGUCUGUCUCAGAAUGUAUACUUGUCAUGCAUGAAUGCAUAUAAUACAACUUUCAACAACGGAUCUCUUGGCUCUCGCAUCGAUGAAGAACGCAGCGAAAUGCGAUAAGUAAUGUGAAUUGCAGAAUUCAGUGAAUCAUCGAAUCUUUGAACGCACCUUGCGCUCCUUGGUAUUCCGAGGAGCAUGCCUGUUUGAGUGUCAUGGUAUUCUCAACCCUCCUGUGGUUUUUGUUUUCGCAAAGUCUGCAGGUUUGGGAUUGGACUUGGAGGUUUUAUUGCCGGGCUUCCUCUUUCGAAGCUUGGCUCCUCUGAAAUGCAUUAGCUUGAAUGAUUUUUACCCAAGCAUGAUCCAGCGUGAUAAUUGUCUACGCUGCCUCAUCGUGGUGAAACAACCUUGGUUGUUUUCGUUCAGGCUUCGAACCGUCUCCUCCGGAGACAAACUCAUCUGAACAUCUGACCUCAAAUCAGGUAGGACUACCCGCUGAACUUAAGCAUAUCAU
rnacentral:rRNA from 1 species